ensembl:lncRNA
UGUGCAUUUAGAUAUUUCAAGUGUCUUAUGUGGGUGCUAGUGAAUUAGAUUAACUAAAAGAUUCAAUUCAAAGGUUGUAAGUUCAAAACCUGGAAGUGGUGAUCCAUGCGUCACAACCACUGUGCCGUCAAGCUAGGCGCUUAACCCCAGGUUGCUCUAAGAGAAAUAGUCUGAUCGGUAAGGCGAAACACUCAAUGGAGAAUGAUAAAAAUCUCAGGGAGCGAUUCAUUUUCAUCUGAACUGAGCCACAUCUUCCAAACCGCAGAACCCUUCGGCCAUGUGAAGACUUUAGCCCAAGUUAGGAGCUCAAUUGAAUCCAGAUGUCGCUCCAGCAAUAGCCGUUACUUUCACCACUAAAUCAUUCAGUUCCUGGAGGAAUGAUAGUCAGGCAACU